ACCUGUCAGAAGGAAAGAAUUGGUCCUGAAGUAAAGUUGGGUGGACUCACUCCUCCCCAAUAAAUACACACCACUCUGCAGAGAGGGAACUCAGACCAGACCACCCCCAGAAGAGGCCUGCUGCUCCCCGCUGCCCCUAGGCACCACACUUCCCAGCCUCUGCCCUUUGUCCAUAAGCCUUUUCCGUGUGACUGGUCUGCGGCAUGACUCCAGGGCACCAAGGAGAUGCCCUUGUACUUUUACUCAACCCCGACGGCACCUUUUUUCAACCUCCUAGGUUCUUGGGCCUGGUGCUCCCUCAUCUAGCUGCCCUUGCAUUCUCCUCUGCCACAUCCAGCUUUGUCUUGCCUGGAAUGAAUUGAUGCACAUUUGAGCCUCAGCCACAAGGUCACUGUGGAGGUCUAGUGUUGGGCUUCAGCUCUGACCUGUCAAAGGGUCCCUUGAAAGGGGGAUUGAGGAGCUGGGAAAUGCAAAGUAGGAAAUAUAGAAGUAGACUAAUUAAAAAGAGACAGGAUAGCUUUGGGAGGGCCCAGCAGCCUCGAGUUUAUUUCUAAUGGGCUUUUUAUACACCAGCAAGGGGAGAGGUAAAAGACUUCCCUCUCUCAAGAUCAAAGCACAAUGUACAACCAAGUGUAGACCCUUCAAAACACCUGGUAACCACGCCCCACGGCAAAGCAUCUUGUGAUUAGGCCUUGAAGUAGAAGACACCUGGUGACCAUGCCUUUGCACCCAACCAUGCAGCCUUGGAGAACAACAUAAACUCUGCCUCUCUGACCUCGAGUCAAACCACAAGUUGGAAUCUUGGUGGGCUCCCACAGGUCACCUCCCUGGAAGGCAUCCUAAGAGAGACAGUGGUGUGAAAGACACAGCAGCCUUUGGACCAGAUGUGUGGACAGCCCCCUGGCCCGGAAUCUAGCCUAGAGACCUAGGAUCAGGAUGCAGCUCUCAGCUACUUCUCCAGCACCAUGCCUGCCUGCCGCCAUGCCCUCUGCCCUAAAACUCUAUGGAAGCCUUAACUAAGACACCACCCAAGUCCAGUUUAGGGAAAGCAUCGAGUUUACUGGGGUCCUUUCAGGUAUAUGAGUGAGGGGAGAUUCUCAAGAGCAGAGGCGACUCAAAGGCAUCUGUGUCACCGGAAACCCACCCCAGCCCUGGUCAUGGCUCUUGAAAGCUGGAAACCUGCAUCUCAUUGCACAGCUCACAGUGUUCUGCCUGCAUGCCAGAAGAGGGCACCAGAUCUCAUUAUGGACGGUUGUGAGCCACCAUGUGGUUGCUGGGAAUUGAACUCAGGACCUCUGGAAGAGCAGCCAGCACCCUUAACAGAUGAGCCAUCUCUCCAGGCCUACUUCCUGAGUCUUCAUGAGGGUCUCUCCAAGAUGGAACGUUUCGUCUCCUGGAUACCCGCUGCUCAGCAUCUGAUGAGAUGGCUCAGGAGGGACAGCACUUGGACAAGCCUGGCAACGUGAGUUCCAUCGCUGGAACCCACGUAAAGGUGGGAAGAGAGAAGUAAUGCCUGUCCCAGAUGACAAGCAGAGUUGGUGAGGGGGUUACUGUGGGAUGUGGGACAGGAGCCAGAUCAAGGGCUCAGUCGCCUUAGGCCCUGACAUCCCCGCCCCCACCCCCAACUCCAGUCCCAACCCAGCUGCUGCCUCCUCCCGGCAGCCUUUUCCUUUUGGUCUCUUGGGGCAAAUGCAGGCGUGCACAGACCCGCACUGAGGUGUGCGUGCACACUCCCAUGGACACAUCACAUAGGAGCUUUCUUCCAGCAGUGUGCACACAGAGCAGGACCCAGAUACCAGCAAGGGAGGCCUGGUGAUCCAGUGCUGUAAGGCAGGGAUGGGGUCCACACAGAGGCCACAGCCUCCGCUUAGGCUGACCUGCUGAUGUGGCUGGAAGGGAUGGGAGAAGUGGCUGGCCAAGGACCACCUACGAACUGUCCCGGUUCUGAACAUGUCCAAAGGAUGUGGCAUAGAAUGUGCACAGCAGUUCAUAGAGCCCUGUGGCAUGUGGUUCACAGACUAUGGACCAAACUUACCACAGUAUUCUACCAGGCAAAGGCUUGGCUGGGUGGGCUAGCAGUUGGCCAGGGGCUGGGUGGGCUAGCAGUUGGGCCAGGG